rnacentral:rRNA from 1 species
CCUACGGGUGGCAGCAGUGGGGGAUAUUGCACAAUGGGGGAAACCCUGAUGCAGCGACGCCGCGUGUGGGAAGACGGUCCUCUGGAUUGUAAACCACUGUCCCCAGGGACGAAGAUGACGGUACCUGGGGAGGAAGCUCCGGCUAACUACGUGCCAGCAGCCGCGGUAAUACGUAGGGAGCGAGCGUUGUCCGGAAUUACUGGGUGUAAAGGGAGCGGAGGCGGGACUGCAAGUUGGGUGUCAAAUCUACGGGCUCAACCGGUAGCCGCACUCAAAACUGCAGUUCUUGAGUGAAGUAGAGGCAGGCGGAAUUCCUGGUGUAGCGGUGAAAUGCGUAGAUAUUAGGAGGAACACCAGUGGCGAAGGCGGCCUGCUGGGCUUUUACUGACGCUGAGGCUCGAAAGUGUGGGGAGCAAACAGGAUUAGAUACCCGAGUAGUC